GCCGGGCCGGGGCUCCGGAGCCCGGCGAGCCCUCCCCCGGCCCGCCCCGCCGCCAGCCCCGGCCCCCGGGCGGGCACGGGCCGCCAACCCCGGGGCGGAGCGCCCGCCCCUGAGGGCAGGGCGGAGGCGGGCCCGGCCCGGAGCGGGGUUUGACGGGCCAUGGCGAGAGAAGGAGUGGAUGGAUAUGGUGAGCCUGGAGAUCCCUGGCUCUGCUGGACCUGCCCUGGACUCGGAAUUGCCCGUGUUUUAAGCGGAGCCGCGGGAGUGACCUGGCAGCUCCAUCCGACAUCUGUAUGAAAUCUCUGCUCAGGUUCCGCUGAGGUCCCUGCUUGAGUGAAUGACAGCUGGUUGCUUUAGUUAUAGUAGUGUCUGUCUCUUACGCCGGCCUGUGCCUCGUGUUAAUGUGACCUUUGUGUCGGGGUAUUUUCCGAGUGGGACAGCAAGAGGCAAAAUUUGCCAGAGGAGGUGCAGUAACAAGAGAACAGUGUCAGGGACUAAACUCAUCCCUAACCGUUCAAAACCCUCCUGCCUUUCCUAUCUCAAUUCCCCCUCUCAGUAAGGAGAAAUCUGUUUCUUUGCCAUUUCAGAUUGCAGAUCCUGAUCCUCACACACAAGGCUACCCAUACCCAUCAUUUUCCUAACCCCCUGCUUUCAGGGCACCUUCCUGUUCCAUCAGUCCUUUUCUGGUCUGACAGUUUGUGGAGGGGAAACAAAAGGGUAGAAGGGUUCCCUGUUUGGUCAUUUUCUAUUGUGUAUCCACCAGCAGAAAUGGAAACAGACCCUUAAUUACUCUGAGUCAUUAAACAUAUUUCAAUCAGUUUUCAGGAGAAGACAUCUGUGAGGUUUCUGGUCAACUUUCAACUGAGAAAAAGGCAGUUUACUCAACUACUCAAAGGUAGUUGUUGGCAUUUGCUGUCAGAUUUCACUGUCAGAUAGUCUGGCAACAGCUUUGUCAUCCAGAUGUUUCUGUCCCUGCCAUUCCUUGCUCAGCCAAAUCUGAGGAAGAAAAAGACGUCUUUGUUCCUCGUCUACCUCUCAUGAAAGAAAUUUCAGCCAUCUUCUGGUCUAAUGCCUGCUCUUCCCCCAGCAUGGAAACAUGUACCACAGCAUCAGAUACCCUCUCCUGAUCUUCCAAAUCCACGACAUCAUACAGACCAAGUCCUCCUCUGCUCCCCUCUGGGGCUCCCUUGAUCAUCCAGCAUCUGCUCUUCCUGUUACCCUAACACAGUCCCUCAGUGAAGAAUUCUUCUCCUCUACAGCUUUCUCACCCAAACCUCUCUUUGCUCUCCUACUCCCUUCCAGAUCAAAGUAAUUUCUUUCCCUCUGCUUUGCUCAUUGCUCUUCAUCUCUCUUUUUAGAUGCUUGUUCAAUUUGCCAUGGUAAAAUACUUUGAUCAUAUGAUUAAAAGGGAUUGAGCGAA